GACGAACGCUGGCGGCGUGCUUAACACAUGCAAGUCGAACGGAAAGGCCCUGCUUUUGUGGGGUGCUCGAGUGGCGAACGGGUGAGUAACACGUGAGUAACCUGCCCUUGACUUUGGGAUAACUUCAGGAAACUGGGGCUAAUACCGGAUAGGAGCUCCUGCCGCAUGGUGGGGGUUGGAAAGUUUCGGCGGUUGGGGAUGGACUCGCGGCUUAUCAGCUUGUUGGUGGGGUAGUGGCUUACCAAGGCUUUGACGGGUAGCCGGCCUGAGAGGGUGACCGGCCACAUUGGGACUGAGAUACGGCCCAGACUCCUACGGGAGGCAGCAGUGGGGAAUAUUGCACAAUGGGCGGAAGCCUGAUGCAGCAACGCCGCGUGCGGGAUGACGGCCUUCGGGUUGUAAACCGCUUUCGCCUGUGACGAAGCGUGAGUGACGGUAAUGGGUAGAGAAGCACCGGCUAACUACGUG
rnacentral:rRNA from 1 species